AGAGUUUGAUCCUGGCUCAGAUUGAACGCUGGCGGCAGGCCUAACACAUGCAAGUCGAGCGGUAGAGAGAAGCUUGCUUCUCUUGAGAGCGGCGGACGGGUGAGUAAUGCCUAGGAAUCUGCCUGGUAGUGGGGGAUAACGCUCGGAAACGGACGCUAAUACCGCAUACGUCCUACGGGAGAAAGCAGGGGACCUUCGGGCCUUGCGCUAUCAGAUGAGCCUAGGUCGGAUUAGCUAGUUGGUGAGGUAAUGGCUCACCAAGGCGACGAUCCGUAACUGGUCUGAGAGGAUGAUCAGUCACACUGGAACUGAGACACGGUCCAGACUCCUACGGGAGGCAGCAGUGGGGAAUAUUGGACAAUGGGCGAAAGCCUGAUCCAGCCAUGCCGCGUGUGUGAAGAAGGUCUUCGGAUUGUAAAGCACUUUAAGUUGGGAGGAAGG
rnacentral:rRNA from 1 species